GUUGACCUCGGAUCAGGUAGGAAUACCCGCUGAACUUAAGCAUAUCAAUAAGCGGAGGAAAAGAAACCAACAGGGAUUGCCCCAGUAACGGCGAGUGAAGCGGCAACAGCUCAAAUUUGAAAUCUGGCCCCAGGCCCGAGUUGUAAUUUGCAGAGGAUGCUUUUGGCGCGGUGCCUUCCGAGUUCCCUGGAACGGGACGCCAUAGAGGGUGAGAGCCCCGUACGGUUGGACACCAAGCCUUUGUAAAGCUCCUUCGACGAGUCGAGUAGUUUGGGAAUGCUGCUCUAAAUGGGAGGUACAUUUCUUCUAAAGCUAAAUAUUGGCCAGAGACCGAUAGCGCACAAGUAGAGUGAUCGAAAGAUGAAAAGCACUUUGAAAAGAGGGUUAAACAGCACGUGAAAUUGUUAAAAGGGAAGCGCUUGUGACCAGACUUGCGUCCGGUGAAUCACCCAGCUCUCGCGGCUGGGGCACUUCGCCGGCACAGGCCAGCAUCAGCUUGCCGUCGGGGACAAAAGCUUCAGGAACGUAGCUCCUCUCGGGGAGUGUUAUAGCCUGUUGUAUAAUACCCUUCGGCGGGCUGAGGUACGCGCUCCGCAAGGAUGCUGGCGUAAUGGUCAUCAGCGACCCGUCUUGAAACACGGACCAAGGAGUCAACCUUAUGUGCGAGUGUUUGGGUGUUAAACCCCUACGCGUAAUGAAAGUGAACGCAGGUGAGAGCUUCGGCGCAUCAUCGACCGAUCCUGAUGUUCUCGGAUGGAUUUGAGUAAGAGCAUAUAGGGUUGGACCCGAAAGAAGGUGAACUAUGCGUGUGUAGGGUGAAGCCAGAGGAAACUCUGGUGGAGGCUCGCAGCGGUUCUGACGUGCAAAUCGAUCGUCAAACAUGCGCAUGGGGGCGAAAGACUAAUCGAAC
rnacentral:rRNA from 1 species